rnacentral:rRNA from 1 species
AAUGAACGCUGGCGGCAUGCCUAACACAUGCAAGUCGAACGAAGCCUUCGGGCUUAGUGGCGCACGGGUGCGUAACGCGUGGGAAUCUGCCCUUGGGUUCGGAAUAACAGUGGGAAACUACUGCUAAUACCGAAUGAUGUCGCAAGACCAAAGAUUUAUCGCCCAGGGAUGAGCCCGCGUAGGAUUAGCUAGUUGGUGUGGUAAAAGCGCACCAAGGCGACGAUCCUAGCUGGUCUGAGAGGAUGAUCAGCCACACUGGGACUGAGACACGGCCCAGACUCCUACGGGGG